rnacentral:lncRNA from 1 species
AGUUGACAGACACUUUUCCUCAGUGACAAAAUGGACUCUUUUAAAGGACCUUGUCCUCAUCAGAGCGUUCCAGUUGAAAUGGAUGAGAGCAUGACAUCCUCCAGUCUGGACAUGGUCUUGCCUCCCCCAUGCAAACAGUGUAUUGGGGACACAGAGAUCAGCAAAAGGCUGCAGGAAUACGACUGUGAGCAAUCCAAGGGGGCAGUGCGCGAUGCCGGCCAGUGGGGAGUCCCUGAGGGCCAGCACAAACCCAGAGCAGCCUGUUAUCCUGUCGCCCAUCCUCGUUUCAUCCCCCCUUCACACUUAGGACAGAUGAACCCCCCCUACCCUGCAGGUCUCAGAGAGCAGGAGCUGCUGUAUGAACAGGAUCUCAGAGUCAACAAUAGUAGAGGUUUUGCACACCCUUCAAACUAUCCCCAGGAUCGCUCUGUGGAGGAGACGGAAAGCUUGGAGCUCCCUCACACACUCGUGUCUCUUAACUACAACCAGUGUGUCCCAUCUCGAUACCCUGCACCACGUAUGCCCGGCCACAAUCCAAUGCCGGGGAGUUUUCCCGGACAGUGUGCAUGCUGCCUUCCAGCAAAUCUGCCCCAUCUCGAUAAUAAUUAUCGUCAUUAUAAAUAUGAUUACCCAGCGGAUCCUCACCAGGAGCCUCAAUACCGCCAACAGUCAUGGAACCCCCCUAAUAACAGGCUGCAACAUAAACAGGCUCCAAAUGCCCCCCAAGGAUCUGCACCUCGGCUUGUGGCCCCUCAUAGAGAUUUGAUGCAUGAGGUCAGCGUGGAUCGCUCCUUCCAGGCUGGUCCAGGACCAGCCACGAGGGAGAUCAGGAGGACCAUCUCCCUGUCUAAGGAGUGUAGGAAUGUUUUCAUCACAUAUUCAUUGGACACGGCAGAUGAAAUGCUUACUUUCGCCAAAUUUCUGACCGAUCAGGGAUUCGAAGCAGCAGUAAGUCAGGUCAAUUGUCCAUCACCUUUGAUUGUUUUCAUACAAACAGUCACACCCCGCCAAUCUCUCAAUAGAUCGACAUCUUUGAUAAUCCAGUCCGGAGAAUGGGCAUCACCAAAUGGAUGGACAGAUUUUUGAAUGAU